rnacentral:misc_RNA from 1 species
AUCUGGAAUUUCUUCUUCUCCACUUACUCUUCUUGCCACUAAAAUUGUAGGGCGGUCAUAAGAUAAGUUCUGUACUGUGAGCAACUCAUCCACCACAACAAUAUACCCAGCAGCUUCAACUGGGCUAAUAACCUGCCAACUUCCAAGAUGAGCAGUCUUCCGAAGUACUGGAUCAAGUCGAUUAAGAAGCAUGGACAAAGCUGCAGCUGAUCCAGCACGAACAAUUUCUUCAGUGAAUAUGUUCACAGCCCACUGAUCCACUCCAAGCAGUGAUCCAAGAUACUCUGC